GCUGGGUGUGGUGGUGCACACCUGUAGUCCCAGCUACUCAGGAGGCUGAGGUGGGAGGAUCACUUGAGUCCAGGAAGUUGAAGCUGCAGUGAGUGGAGGUUGCAGUGAGCCAAGAUCAUGCCACUGCACUCCAGCCUGAACUCUACAAAGUGAGAACCUGUCUCUA
ensembl:misc_RNA Metazoa_SRP Metazoan signal recognition particle RNA